AACGAACGCUGGCGGCAGGCCUAACACAUGCAAGUCGAACGGAUGUAGCAAUACAUUAGUGGCGCACGGGUGCGUAACACGUGGGAAUGUACCCUCUGGUAAGGAAUAAUAUUUGGAAACGAAUACUAAUACCUUAUAAUAUCUUCGGAUCAAAGAUUUAUCGCCAGAGGAUCAGCCCGCGUCUGAUUAGCUAAUUGGUGAGGUAAUGGCUCACCAAGGCGACGAUCAGUAGCUGGUCUGAAAGGAUGAUCAGCCACACUGGGACUGAGACACGGCCCAGACUCCUACGGGAGGCAGCAGUGAGGAAUAUUGCGCAAUGGAGGAAACUCUGACGCAGCCAUGCCGCGUGAGUGAAGAAGGCCUUAGGGUUGUAAAGCUCUUUCAAUGGUGAAGAUAAUGACGGUAGCCAUAGAAGAAGCCCCGGCUAAACUCGUGCCAGCCGCCGCCGUAA
rnacentral:rRNA from 1 species